AAAGCAGGGAUAGUGUGUAUCAGUGUUGUGCUAUUAUCAAUGCACUUUUCUGAAAGUGUUCCCUUGCAAUAUUAAUUUGAGAAAAUGGGCAGUUGUGUUUCAUCUUAUAUUGUUGAAAAUCACAACAAUCAUUUUCUCUACAUUU
rfam:Cicer arietinum chromosome Ca1, whole genome shotgun sequence.